UUUUAGCCCGGAUCGAAAAGGAAAUCCUUUUUUUUGAAGCUGGAGAAGGAAAGGCAAAAAAAGAUUGUAAUGAAGAGCCGGAACGAUU
rnacentral:sRNA from 1 species